UACGUAGGCAGCGAGCGUUGUUCGGAGUUACUGGGCGUAAAGGGUGCGUAGGCGGUUGUUUUAAGUUUGGUGUGAAAUCUCCCGGCUCAACUGGGAGGGUGCGCCGAAUACUGAAUGACUAGAGUGCGGGAGAGGAUAGUGGAAUUCCUGGUGUAGCAGUGAAAAUGCGUAGAUAUCAGGAGGAACACCGAUGGCGAAGGCAGGUCUCUGGGCUGACACUGACGUCAUGCACGAAAGCGUGGGGAGCAAACAGG
rnacentral:rRNA from 1 species